GAGCUUACCAUGCAAGUCGAGCGGAGAGAGGUAGCUUGCUACUGAUCUUAGCGGCGGACGGGUGAGUAAUGCUUAGGAAUCUGCCUAUUAGUGGGGGACAACAUUUCGAAAGGAAUGCUAAUACCGCAUACGUCCUACGGGAGAAAGCAGGGGAUCUUCGGACCUUGCGCUAAUAGAUGAGCCUAAGUCGGAUUAGCUAGUUGGUGGGGUAAAGGCCUACCAAGGCGACGAUCUGUAGCGGGUCUGAGAGGAUGAUCCGCCACACUGGGACUGAGACACGGCCCAGACUCCUACGGGAGGCAGCAGUGGGGAAUAUUGGACAAUGGGCGCAAGCCUGAUCCAGCCAUGCCGCGUGUGUGAAGAAGGCCUUAUGGUUGUAAAGCACUUUAAGCGAGGAGGAGGCUACUUUAGAUAAUACCUAGAGAUAGUGGACGUUACUCGCAGAAUAAGCACCGGCUAACUCUGUGCCAGCAGCCGCGGUAAUACAGAGGGUGCAAGCGUUAAUCGGAUUUACUGGGCGUAAAGCGCGCGUAGGCGGCUAAUUAAGUCAAAUGUGAAAUCCCCGAGCUUAACUUGGGAAUUGCAUUCGAUACUGGUUAGCUAGAGUGUGGGAGAGGAUGGUAGAAUUCCAGGUGUAGCGGUGAAAUGCGUAGAGAUCUGGAGGAAUACCGAUGGCGAAGGCAGCCAUCUGGCCUAACACUGACGCUGAGGUGCGAAAGCAUGGGGAGCAAACAGGAUUAGAUACCCUGGUAGUCCAUGCCGUAAACGAUGUCUACUAGCCGUUGGGGCCUUUGAGGCUUUUAGUGGCGCAGCUAACGCGAUAAGUAGACCGCCUGGGGAGU
rnacentral:rRNA from 1 species